rnacentral:rRNA from 1 species
GACGAACGCUGGCGGCGUGCUUAACACAUGCAAGUCGAACGGAAAUGCCCUGCUUUUGUGGGGUGCUCGAGUGGCUAACGGGUGAGUAACACGUGAGUAACCUGCCCUUGACUUUGGGAUAACUUCAGGAAACUGGGGCUAAUACCGGAUAGGAGCUCCUGCUGCAUGGUGGGGGUUGGAAAGUUUCGGCGGUUGGGGAUGGACUCGCGGCUUAUCAGCUUGUUGGUGGGGUAGUGGCUUAACAAGGCUUUGACGGGUAAGCGGGCUGGGAGGGUGACCGGCGAAAAUGGGACAGAGGAAAGGGCAAGAAUCCAAACGGAGGCAACAAGGGGGAAAAAUGGAAAAAGGGGGGAAAGCUGAGGGAGCAAAGAAGGAGGCGGGAUGAAAGCCUUCGGGUUGUAAACCGCUUUCGCAUGUGACGAAGCGUGAGUGACGGUAAUGGGUAAAGAAGCACCGGCUAACUACGUG